GUCCUGACUCCGCAGGAGUGUCAACUUGUAGAUUUAGACAACUGGAAACUACAAGGACAUAAUCAAAAACAGAAAACCGUGGUUCCCAGGAAGCAGCACUCUGUCUCACCAAGAGACAUUUGAAAAUGACUACGAACUCUGAAGAAUCUUCAGGAGAUGGAGAAUCGUAAGACACCAAUGAGAUGAAAUGAAGAGUUUGCCUAAGUCUCAACAAUAUCUCAAACUAUGGAAUUGUAGGAUGAAUGUCUGAGACAUUUAAGAUGAUACAUAUUUACCAUUUAAGUAUAACGCAACAUGACUCCAUCAAGCUGUGCAAGAGAAACCUCUGAGCAAUAAACUUUCCUUCUGG